AUUGGAACUGCUUGUGGAGCACGGUAUUGACAAGAGCUGGCAGACUCUGGUCUGUUUUAGCAUAGACCUAAAUAUCACAACUCCAUGGUCAGAUUUCAGGAUCAGUUCCACUUGGAAAGACUGUUUUUCAUUUUACUGUCAGGUUAUUUUUUCUCUAAUAUUUUUUUAACAGAAAGGUGCAGAGUAGCAAGCUGGAAGUGACAUAGGUAAGGAGGCCAAACAUCAGGUUCAGUUAGGGAAGGAACAUUUUCAUGCUUCUUUAGCUUUUUGGAAAAAAAACAUCGUCUUUCAUGCCUAUUUUCAGCCAAAAUGUCACUUGCUUUGGAAAGUUUGAAGAAAAUUGGUUAAGAACCCUAUUGGGGAAUGGCUUAAGGAGAAAGGGCAUGGUGGGGAUAUCGACCCUUUGUAUUAAGAGAAAUGUUUUAGUCAGGAUGGGUAGGCCCGGGUAGGCCUCAGUUAGCAUGAGGGUGACUAGGCAAGUGGGAAAGUACUGACCGAAAGUAACAGUGAGAUAAAGUGCUGACUGUAGGUUACUGAAGGUCACAGAACAGCUUGUUGUAAGCAACUUUGUGGAAGUGUAUUCGGGAGGAUAAGGAACUAGCAUACCAGAGAAAUCGCAAGUAGGGCUGAGCUAAUUUGCUAUGCACUCCAAUCAUAUAAUGACUAGUAGGCAUAAUUAAGGAUAACAGUAUAUAAGCGAGCUGUAUCCGAUCAAUAAACGGAGUAUGCUUAUCACUCAUAUUGAGUCGACUGCAUUUCUUCCUCCGCACGCGGGUCCUGAACUCUGAAGCGUUUCCCAACAUCUGGCGCCCGAACAGGGACCCGUGCUGCGGAUUAGGUCGUGGAACGGCACCGGUUUGGCAGCGGCCGGUGGGCAAGAGCAACCGAACAUUGUACUGCGAUGUGUUGACUCCGACGCCUGGACGAUUGAAGUUUUAAGUUCGCCGUAUACGGGCACACUGGAAGGCUGCAAAGAGGUCUUUGAGCUCAAGAAGAGGUAUUUAUUUAUAUUAUGAGUACAGAGGUUAUGGAUUUCGAGGUGGCCCUAGAUCUUUUACAAAGCUUUUUAGAAAAGCGAGGGGUUAAUUAUAGUUGCGUUAAACAGCUAGCUGGUCUAGUAGCAACGGGGAAAAACUAAGGGGUGUUUUCAGGAUCCUGAUUUAUUGUUUGAUGAAGGAGAGUGGAGGAAAUUAGGGGACGUGUUGUGGGAUAUGGUCAUAGACGAGGAUAAAACAGCUAAGAAACUGAGGAAACCGUGGAGGGAAGUAAUUAAUAGUAUUAAGCGUCAUAAAGUGAAAAAGAAUUUAGCCGCGGUAGCUUCACAGAAACUCGGCAAAAUGGAGCCUUCCGCUCCGCCGAUGGAAACGGGCAUAUCUGCGUUAUCAGCGAAGAACCUUAAAAGACUAUUAACUUGGUGCAGAGGCAAUAGGUAUCCUGCUGACCUGUCAGGAGUUUUUCAAAUAGAGACUUGGAAAAAGAUGGGAACUGUGUUGUGGAAGGCAAUUAGUCACCGCGAAAGAUAUAUUCUCGGCCUUGUAACCAUCUGGAAACUGAUAAAUACUACAAUGAAGCAAUUAAAACCUGGAAAGACUGUUACGAGCAUUAGUGACUCAAAACUUGAACUUUGGGACAGUGUAGAGCAGAAAUUAUGGGAUAAAGUCAGCAAUGGACAUACAGAAGCUAAAUCAUUAGUAACUACAUGGAAGCUUGAACGGUCUGCUGCUGCCGGAAUUUUUGCAGCGUUGCAGCCUGAUAAGUAUCCUGAAAGUUGCGGUGAAAUUCACCCGGUUUGUGUCUGCGAUACCCUCCCUAUGCAAUCCCCUGCUGUGCUUUCGGCACCCCCGAUGGUUCAGCAGCUUGCUGCGGGGGGAGGAACAAUGCCAAACGGUUAGCCUCCUGUACCAUCAUCUAACCCUGGUGAGAACAGCAAGUCCAGAGGAUUGGUGUCAGACAACUUACUCAAAGAACCUGUGAAAGCUGAGAAUGCUAAAGUCGUAAACAAGUGUACUAUCAGUUCCUUUUACCAAUUUUGCCAAUCUGCUUUUCCUGCAUUUUAACCCUCUAACUUCCACGAGAGAACAGAAGAAGUCACUGAAAAUAGAACUGGACAACAGAACUGUGUGACAGAUUAGAUCAGUUAACAGCAAGUGAAUCUGACAGUCGGCAAUGUGGUCAUGAUAAUCGUGACGGGAAAGGGGGUGCUUCUGGGGACUCGGGGUAUAAAACUUAGAAGUUAAGGAAGCACUGGUUUUGGAAUUGGCAGUAGAGAAUGCUAAAGUUUGCUAUCAACAUGUUAUUUGUGAGUUUUACAGUGCAUAUUAUGUGCUGCUGUUUAUUGCCUCUCUGAAAGUCAAGCAGCUUGUCAGGAAUGUGAGUUAAUUGUUUUACUGGUUGUUGUUAGAACUGUUUCUUUGUGGUAUAAGUGCACCGUAAAACUUUGUCUCCACUUUUCCCACUCACGCUGCAAGCAGCCCUGUGCUUUUUCGUGGGGUCAGAAAUUACUGUUUUCAGUCGUGUUCAUAAAAAAUCGGUAUUGGGAGGUGUUUCAAAACAUAGGGAAGCACUUGGAAAUAUGAGGAAAGAAGAUCUUGUAAAAUAUUGUAAUUAAUGGUGGCUGCUGUAUAAGUUAAAUGAUUGGGAAAAGUGUCUGGGGAAUAGAAUCUUGAAGUAUAACACCUUAUUGCAAUUAAUGUUGUUUUUAGGGUGAGAAGAGUAAGACAAAAUAAAUCCCUACAAGAGAUCAUUAAAUCAUUUCAGACAGCUGAGAGAGAGUUAACUGAUAACACGCAGGUCACAGUAAACUUGCUGAAGUCUGCACAAUGUUUUCCUUAUUAGCCUGUUUUCUUUGUGGGUAUCUGUUUAAGCAUGUUGCAAUUUUGGUAGGUCUUUGUUAUAUGGUACAGUAAGUUCACAGACUGUUAAAUCAUGAGAAUCGGUUGACUCAAAAGGUGCGUUUUGUGAUAGUAUAAAAGAUCAUGAGUAAUUUAGCUCCCUACUGCAUGAACAUGAUGUUAAGAUUUUAUGUGUAGUAGCUGUUAUAUUUUUUUUUCUAGUGUACUAGCUUUAUUCCAAUAUCCAGACUUGCGCAACUCUGUGACAAGCUGUCUCUCAUCUCGGUGCACUAAAUUUGGCCUUUUUGUAUGCACAUCAAGUGAAGAAUCAUGGUUUUAGAAUAACAGUUGUAGCGCACCAAAUGAGACACUAAUAAAAGGCCUUGCCCAGUCCAGCUUGCUGCGGGGGGGGGGCGGAUGCCAAAUGGGGCUCCAGCGCGCACUGACCCAUUUUGUCAGGGAGACCCAGAGGUAUCUCCACCUGGCUGAGCAGUAAGCGGUUCAAGGUGCAAUGCAAAAAAUUGAGAUAUUGUCUUAAAUUGGUGUAAGUGUGAUUCAUCUGCUUAUUUGAACUUGGUGUAUGGUUUUCGUAUCUGAGCUCAGUAUUUUAGUUUGUAUAUUCAUAUUUGGUACCAAAAGAAUCUUGUUUGGGGAGAUAAUUACAAUGGGAACCGGUUCCACUGCUAAAAUUCCACCUUGCUCCCCCUUAGGAUGCAUCCUUACACAUUAAAGUAAUCGCUUAUAUUGUUAGAAAAGCAUUUAAAUUGUUAAAAUACUAUGAUAGAUGUGAACUUGGGGUAUUGUAUGAAGUUAUGAAGUUGUAUUUAAAGGUUGCUGGAAUGUGAACUGAUUUGGAUCUAGGACAAUAGAAUAAUGGAUUUAUGUUUAUUAUACUGGUUUAUACUGGUUUUUUUGACAUCUCUAAAUUGUAAAAGGUAAAUGGAGCUAAGGAAUGUGACUAUUGCUGAGCUACUUGAAAUUGCAUAUAAAGUGUAUUAUGGCUGAAAUGAAAUGGGAAAACAAAAGAGCAAAAUAUCCCAGGCCUGUGUGCAGCUCAUUGUAACUGAGAAGUUUCCCAGAGCCUCCUACUUCGUACCAGCCAGUAUGCCAGCUGCGUGACCUUGGUUAUAUCUACACUGCACAGAAAGAAAAAACAACUGGAAAAACGUGGCUGCCCGCUUUUAAAGCAGUGAAAGGGGGGGUUCUCUCUCCCCCCACUGCAGCGAUGUAAUACUGAAUGGAGCCGUCCGAGGGUGAAGUUUAAAGGCAUCCUGAACAGACCCAUAGUUCUAAUUAAACUGGACAAUUAAACCAAAAAUUUGUUGAUGGACUUAUCCUAUGGUAAUUAAUUGUACGAGACUUCUUAGUAAAUUCACCAUGCUAGUUUUUGAGGACAUGGGAGACAACGAAAGAAAGGCCGUUUUUUGAGACAAACGGAAUGCCAAAUAUGGAACAAAGUUUUAAUACGUGAAUUCUUGUAUUUGCCUAAAAGUCCUAUACCUCUCUUGGGUCAGGAUUUGUUAAGUAAAUUGUAAGCUCAAAUAACGUUUUCUGAGAAUUCUGUUUAGUUGCAUAUCCUACAGGAAGGUGCUUGGAUGUUGCAGAUCUGCUUGUGCAAGUGAGAAAUCUUCAAGGAACUUAGCAGCCAAUGUUUUUGAUAAAGCAGAUACUACCCUGAGAAAUCUGAAACAGGACUUCAAUCCGGUAAGGGAAAAUAAUAUCCAAUAAAUAUGACAGCCAAAAUGGAGUUAGAAACUUUGAGGGAUGAAUUUAUGACAGCUUUACAGGAUGACUGCAUUUGAUUGGACUUACAGAUUUGUCUAUGAAACAACCUGUGGCUAUUGUGGGACAGUAUGAUGAGAAUGCUAACAGACUAAUAUACCAAUUGUCACUCUGAUCAAGAAAAUGCAGGGAAUGAAUUUAAGGCCAUGAUCCUUUUGUCAUAUAUGUACCAUUUGCGAAAUUUAAGGAACCUUUGAAUUUGAUUUGCGAUUUUGAGUACGUAGUCAAGAUCCAACACACGUAUCUGAUUCUGAACUGGGAAUUGUCAGGGGGGUUGUGUGUGGUGAGUCACUUGUAUCUAAGUGGUGCAGCCUGGGGUUGCCCUGUGAUGAAACACUUUGUAACUAUGACCCAAAACCAUGCUAAAUCAGAAAGAACCCGCAUUAGUUAUGGUCAAAUCACUAGUUAACGUUCAAUGGAAAAGUCCAUACCAAUUGAUAACCUGGGAGAGAGGUUAUGCUUAUGUUUUUACAGAUCAGGAGCUGCAAUGGUUGCCAGCACGAAACGUGAAACCUGUGUUAUCUUCCUGACAAUGAUUGUUGCAGCUGCUGUGUUUUGGAUGCAUGCACAGACAAAGACUAACAUGUGGAUUACUUUAGCCAACAUGACUGACCACCUAUAUGCCUAACUACGAUGUCUCUGGAAAAAACGUUCUACACAUGCUUGGUUGGUGUCUUCCUUGAUGACUACAGCAGCAUCACACGACUGUUUCAAAUAGUGGUUGAUGCAGAGGCAUUGCAACGAACUGUAAUAAUACUAACACGGCACUUUGGAUUAAUUGCCACCUGGAAGCAGACAUCGAACCACAGGAACUGGAAUUGCUGGCAUCUAUGCCCAUGGAUGCUUGUAUUCAGCCGGUUUGUGAAAAGUGUCAGAACAGUAUACAAGAACAUGAAUGGACAAACUACAAAAUGUUAAUGCUACCCUUGGUGACUACAGAAAUGAAACUCGACAGUGUAAUGCUUCACAGAAGAAUGCAAGGGAUAUCAUUGACAGCGACCCUAAAACCUCCUGUAUGGUGUAUUCUUGAUCUGUGAAGAUAGAGCCUGACCAGGAAUUCCUUCUAACGCUGUUGGAGGACUGUGUAUUUUGGGACUAUUAACUCUCUUAACGUCCAAUGUAUCUAUGAUAAUAGAUCACAAAAGAGCAAGACGAGAAAAACACUUUUAUGGAUUUACAGAAUAAGUCGAGAUCCAUCCACGAGGAGAUUAAACAACUUAUGGAUCAUACACAAAAGAUCCAGAAAGAUGUGGGCUUCUUUGGGCUAGAGGGGCUGUCAAACUGGUUUGGGUUAGGAGGAUGGUUAAAAGGGCUUUUGCAAAGUAUGCUUAUGUUACUUAUUAUAAUAAUUGUAGUAGCAAUGUGCAUAAGCUGUGCCUUUUCAUGUCUUCGAAAGCUUUUUGAACGCACCAUGAAUCAAGCAAUGCUCGCGCAAAAAGAAAAAGGGGGAAUUAUUGGGGAAUGGCUUAAGGAGAAAGGGCAUGGUGGGGAUAUCGACCCUUUGUAUUAAGAGAAAUGUUUUAGUCAGGAUGGGUAGGCCCGGGUAGGCCUCAGUUAGCAUGAGGGUGACUAGGCAAGUGGGAAAGUACUGACCGAAAGUAACAGUGAGAUAAAGUGCUGACUGUAGGUUACUGAAGGUCACAGAACAGCUUGUUGUAAGCAACUUUGUGGAAGUGUAUUCGGGAGGAUAAGGAACUAGCAUACCAGAGAAAUCGCAAGUAGGGCUGAGCUAAUUUGCUAUGCACUCCAAUCAUAUAAUGACUAGUAGGCAUAAUUAAGGAUAACAGUAUAUAAGCGAGCUGUAUCCGAUCAAUAAACGGAGUAUGCUUAUCACUCA